rnacentral:lncRNA from 1 species
UGGCUUCCAAGGGAGUGGCAAGGUGCUGAAUGAAGAAGAAAUACCAUUGGUAUGGAUAGCAAAAGCAAAGAUCAGGACUGGAAAGUAAGCUGGCUGCGAGCUUGUGCCCUGUACAUAGGCCUGGUUAAGGAAGCAUCCAGGAUGAGAUCUUUUAGGAUUCACUAGGUAGGUGCUCCUCUCCAAGUUGACUUCGUGGCCAUGACUUUGGCUGCCCAUCUGUCGACUGUAUUUUUAGGUUGCUGAACUUUCUUCUUCUCCCUGCUGCAUCUGAGAGUAAGGCCCUGACUCCUGGAAGUGAUUUCUGAGAGCAGGAAUCAGAUCUUGUUUUUGAAAACCCCCUUUAAAACUCUCUCCUAAAGCAAAUUUCCAGAGCGUGCCUUCUGGUUACCCUUAUCUUUUGCAAUAGCACCACUCUGUGGUUGGAACACUGAACAGAAACAAAACGGCAACGUGGGAUUGAAUUUUGCCUUUAUCUUGUGAAAACAGCACUUAUCUCCCUAUGUUUGAGCUCAGUGGACUGAAUGCUGGUGGUGGGGGCUCAGCGUGUGGUGAGGGAGGGGGUCUUGUGCAGUGGCAGUAUGUGGUUAAUUCAUUGUGACAUGUUGACCCAGGAAAUGAGAGAAGUGGACCGAAUGGCCUCCAAGGACCCUUUCCGUGUCAAAGACAAGCUUGUUUUUUUUCCCCAUGAUCGUGUAGCUAGCCUUGAAUGUCUGUCCUCUUCCACUGCUUUUCUUUUUCUCUCUUUUGAGGUUACUAAAAUAAACACCACACUUCUCACUGAUCCUGAAGUAUUUGCAAGUUGCAUCUUCUGCUGCUGGAGGGCGCUGUGGGGAGGUCUCGCCCUACCCCCUCCAUCCCCACCCCCAUCCACCCAGACAGCUGCUAGAGCUGAUGGAGUCUGG